UACGAAGGGGCUAGCGUUGUUCGGAAUUACUGGGCGUAAAGGGCGCGUAGGCGGUGUGUCAAGUCAGGCGUGAAAGCCCCGGGCUCAACCUGGGAACAGCGCUUGAGACUGGCACGCUCGAGUUCGGGAGAGGAUGGUGGAAUUCCCAGUGUAGAGGUGAAAUUCGUAGAUAUUGGGAAGAACACCGAUGGCGAAGGCAGCCAUCUGGACCGACACUGACGCUGAGGCGCGGAAAGC
rnacentral:rRNA from 1 species